AGCUGAUUGGAGAAUGACCAAGAGUAGACGCGUUCAAACUUAGAAGUACUAUUCUUGCUUUCAUUAAUUAUUACAGGUGGAUCCCAAGGACCUGCAUGGAUCCAGGCCAUCAUUUUACCAUGUACAUGGCCCACACUUAUUCACCUUCUGAUCUGGAGUUAGAAUUUUUUGCAUCCGACACGUAUCAAUACCCAAGAUUAUCCCAAAUCCUUUAUUAUUCUAUUUUUUUUCCCUUUCGAUGGAAACUAAUGCUACAUAAGCCUGGUUUAU
rnacentral:misc_RNA from 1 species